rnacentral:rRNA from 1 species
GAGUUUGAUCGUGGCUCAGAUUGAACGCUGGCGGCAUGCUUUACACAUGCAAGUCGAGCGGCAGCGCGGGGGCAACCCUGGCGGCGAGCGGCGAACGGGUGAGGAAUACAUCGGAACGUACCCCGGAGUGGGGGAUAACCCAGCGAAAGUUGGGCUAAUACCGCAUAUGCUCUGAGGAGGAAAGUGGGGGACCUGAGGGUAACUUCGGGCCUCACGCUCUGGGAGCGGCCGAUGUCCGAUUAGCUUGUUGGUGGGGUAAUGGCCUACCAAGGCGACGAUCGGUAGCUGGUCUGAGAGGAUGAUCAGCCACACUGGGACUGAGACACGGCCCAGACUCCUACGGGAGGCAGCAGUGGGGAAUUUUGGACAAUGGGGGCAACCCUGAUCCAGCCAUGCCGCGUGCGGGAAGAAGGCC